CAUAAUCAUUAGUCUUUUAAUUGGAGACUGGAAUGAAAGAGUAAACCGGGAGAACUUUUUUUCAGUUGAGAAAAUGAAUUUUACUUUUUAGUAAGAAGGCUAAAAUAUUACUUUUAGACAAGAAGACCCUAUAAAACUUUAUACUUUUUCUUUCUUAGUNNNUGAAAGAAAAGUAUUUCGCUGGGGCGGUGGAGGAAAANCNNACUUUCUUUAAAAAAAGUAACGGACUUGUUUUAAUACCUAGAAGUUCUAAAAAAGAAAUAAGUUACUUUAGGGAUAACAGCUUAAUUUACUUAGAAAGAUCAAAUUGACAAGUAAGUUUAUGACCUCGAUGUUGAAUUAAAAGUCCUUU
rnacentral:rRNA from 1 species